UUGAACGCUGGCGGCAGGCCUAACACAUGCAAGUCGAGCGGAUGAAGGGAGCUUGCUCCUGGAUUCAGCGGCGGACGGGUGAGUAAUGCCUAGGAAUCUGCCUGGUAGUGGGGGAUAACGUCCGGAAACGGGCGCUAAUACCGCAUACGUCCUGAGGGAGAAAGUGGGGGAUCCUCGGACCUCACGCUAUCAGAUGAGCCUAGGUCGGAUUAGCUAGUUGGUGGGGUAAAGGCCUACCAAGGCGACGAUCCGUAACUGGUCUGAGAGGAUGAUCAGUCACACUGGAACUGAGACACGGUCCAGACUCCUACGGGAGGCAGCAGUGGGGAAUAUUGGACAAUGGGCGAAAGCCUGAUCCAGCCAUGCCGCGUGUGUGAAGAAGGUCUUCGGAUUGUAAAGCACUUUAAGUUGGGAGGAAGGGCAGUAAGUUAAUACCUUGCUGUUUUGACGUUACCAACAGAAUAAGCACCGGCUAACUUCGUG
rnacentral:rRNA from 1 species